rnacentral:rRNA from 1 species
UAACCAGGAUUCCCCUAGUAACGGCGAGUGAAGAGGGAAUAGCCCAGCACCGAAGCCUGCGGCAGUUUUGCUGUUAGGCAAUGUGGUGUUUGGGUCGGCUCGUGGGAUUGCCACUCCAUUCGAAGUCCAGCAUUGAGUAUGGUUCCCUGGAAUUGUCCCAGAGAGGGUGAAAGGCCCGUACGAAUGGAGGUUCAGACAAGUAAGGCAAUUCACCAGGCCGGCCUUCGAGUCGGGUUGUUUGGGAAUGCAGCCCAAAGUGGGUGGUAAACUCCAUCCAAGGCUAAAUACAAGCACGAAUCCGAUAGCGAACAAGUACCGUGAGGGAAAGUUGAAAAGUACUUUGAAAAGAGAGUAAACAGUACGUGAAACCGCAUAGAGGUAAACGGGUGGCGUCAAGCUGUUAGCCCGAAGGAUUCAGUCAGCAAGGGUGUACGAUGUGCCUAGCGCAUCUAUCAGUCGGAGUAAGUAUCAGUAGUCCACCGGCAGAUGGUGGGCCCGGCUUCGGUCGGGAUAUGUGUACCGGGUGGAUGCCGGAGCAUGCUACUGGUCUGUUGGGCUGCCUUGCUGGUGCACUUCCUUCGUGGUGAACACCACGACCGAUGGUAUUGCCAGUCUGCUGUAGACAAGUCGUAUGUGAUCAGUUCUUGUAGCUGGUUGUAUGCGAUCACAGGCAAACUCGGUGACCGGCGUAAGACUGCUUCGGUAGGCUUGCGUGUUAUCGUUCAUCGGUUGUCAACAGGCCGAGUGGUGGUUGUUGUAUCCGCCAUCGUUCAGUCUGGUGGUCUAUGGUGGUAAGAAUAACUGUGCAAGGCAUCGGAGUUUUCGGUCUCAAAUGCAGGCUGCAUCCACGAUGCAAGUGGCAUGAUGGGGCAGCGUCGCGGCCUGCCUAUCCUUGGGUCUGAUUGUCGUGUCGCCUGCGAAAAGUAGGCCCGGCAGUGGCUCGAGGUAGGUUGGAGUUGUGGGCGUUGUCUCGUGUGUAGUCUGUGGUGGACCAAAUAGUCAGUGGUGUAGUGGUAGACGAGCUACCCGACCCGUCUUGAAACACGGACCAAGGAGUUUAACAUGUAUGCAAGUCAAUGGGCCAUACGAAACCCAAAGGCGCAGUGAAAGUGAAGCUUCGACUUGUCUCGGAGUGUGGUGAGAUCCUGCCGUUACUCGCACAUGCCAGCACUGGGCAUAGAGCGGUGGGCGCAUCACCGGCCCGUCCCAUGAUGUGGUCAUUGGAUUUCUGCAGUUUCGGCUGUAGUGCCAGUGCGUCAUCGGGGCGGUGCAUGAGCAUACAUGUUGAGACCCGAAAGAUGGUGAACUAUGCUUGCGUAGGUUGAAGCCAGAGGAAACUCUGGUGGAGGACCGCAGCGAUUCUGACGUGCAAAUCGAUCGUCAAACGUGAGCAUAGGGGCGAAAGACUAAUCGAACCAUCUAGUAGCUGGUUCCCUCCGAAGUUUCCCUCAGGAUAGCUGGCACUCAUUCGCAUGAUCAGUUUUAUCCGGUAAAGCGAAUGAUUAGAGGUACUGGGUUCGAAACGAGCUCAACCUAUUCUCAAACUUUAAAUGGGUGAGAUGCCUGACUCGCCUAAUAGGAGUCGGGCGUUGAAUGUGCGAGUGCCAAGUGGGCCAUUUUUGGUAAGCAGAACUGGCGCUGUGGGAUGAACCAAACGCUCGGUUAAGGUGCCUAACGCGACGCUCAUGAGAUACCACAAAAGGUGUUGGUUAAUCUAGACAGCAGGACGGUGGCCAUGGAAGUCGGCAUCCGCUAAGGAGUGUGUAACAACUCACCUGCCGAAUUGACCAGCCCUGAAAAUGGAUGGCGCUGGAGCGUCGGACCUAUACCGGGCCGUCAUUGCAAGCUGAGCCGCUGACUAUGUGUGUGCGAGCGGCGUAUGGCUGUCGUUGUGAUGGUCGCCGUAAAGAAGUCAUGGUUCAGGCAUGGAGUGCGAUGACGAGUAGGAGGGUCGCCGUGGUGAGCGUGGAAGCUUCGGACGUGAGUCUGGGUGGAGCCGCCACGGGUGCAGAUCUUGGUGGUAGUAGCAAAUAUUCAAGUGAGAACCUUGAA